rnacentral:misc_RNA from 1 species
CUAAAGAAUUCUGUGUAAACGCCGGGCUGAAGACGACUUACACUAUCGAUUUCGUGUCAAUCAACAACGAGAAUGUAUAUUCUUUAUUGAUGGUAUAUAUUUAUGGUGCAAAAAUAUUUAUAUUUUGUUGCCCCUGACGUCAGGGGUAGGAGCAAUUAGCCGACAUUGGGCGCGUGGCGAGUAAACAGAAGGUGCCCAUAACAGCUGAAGAAGAUUAUAAAGGGCUUCUGCUUUCUAGCAAAAAUAGCAGGGCUUGGCACAUAGGCAAGAAUAAGAAGAAAGGUUCAGCAACCCUCAGUCACUGUAAUAAGCAGGUUUCUUCUGGCUCAGACCUUGCAUGCACCAUCAACGAGAAUCAAGAUCAUCAGGGUAGCGACAGCACUGGAGACCAGCAUUCAAUCCCUGACAUCUCUUGUGUUGACGGCAGUGCUGCUAAAGCUUCUUCGCCUCAGCGGCCCUCUAAAAAGCACAGUGUCAUCCUGCCACCGGCGGAAAAAAUGAACCAUUUGAACCAGACAGGCCCACCCACUCCUGACAAACAGCUUGAAAUGAUGGACACGCAAGAAGACACUGGAGGAGAUGACGAUGGUGGAGGGCUGGAUGGAGAUGGAGUGAGGAGGCGAGUGUCAGGACGACGUGAUGACGUCAUCAACGGCAGGACAGAGGGUUCCGUGGACAACCAGGCAGCUCUGCCCCCAGCCAGCAACCCGGCCUUGCAGCAGCAGCCACCUGCAAACAUUGUUCCUGCUGCUGCGUCUUCAACCAACCAUGUUGACCAGGAAAUGGAAGAUGAUGACGCUCGUUCUGAAGCCACCUUCAAGUUUUCUGUACCGCAGUUUAGUAAAUUGAAGGAAACGGUUCUGUCACCUCCGUGUUACGUGCGCAACUUACCCUGGAAGAUAAUGGUAAUGCAGCGGAUGCAGCAACAGCAAAUUCAAGGCCAAAACAGUACUGAAAGACAAUGUAAUCGGUCCUUGGGCUUUUUUCUGCAGUGUAAUGGAGAAUCUGAAUCUGCGUCUUGGUCCUGUAAUGCCAUAGCAGAGUUGCGGCUUCUCUCUGUUAAAGAGGGUGUGGAAAAUUUCAGCAGAAAGAUUCAUCACUUAUUCUACAGCAAAGAGAAUGACUGGGGCUUUUCUCACUUCAUGGCAUGGAAUGAGGUCUUGGACCCUGAAAGAGGCUACAUUAAAGAUGAUACCAUAACCCUUGAGGUGUGUGUGUCAGCUGAUGCACCGCACGGCGUGUCUUGGGACAGCAAGAAACACACGGGCUACGUGGGCCUCAAGAACCAGGGGGCGACGUGCUAUAUGAACUCUCUGCUGCAGGUGCUCUACUUCACCAACCAGCUGCGCAUGGCCGUAUAUAAGAUGCCGACUGAGAGUGACGACUCAACCAAGAGCGUAGCGCUGGCUCUUCAGCGCGUAUUCCAUGAGCUGCAGACAAGUGACAAGCCCGUGGGCACCAAGAAACUUACAAAAUCUUUUGGCUGGGAGACCCUCGACUCCUUCAUGCAGCAUGAUGCUCAGGAGUUCCUCAGGGUGCUCCUGGAUAAGUUAGAGACCAAAAUGAAAGGCACCUGCGUCGAGGGUGUCAUCCCUCGCCUGUUUGAAGGCAAAACUCUUUCUUACUUCAAAUGCAAGCAUGUGGACUACACUUCUUCAAGAACAGAAACUUUCUAUGAUAUUCAACUCAACAUAAAAGGAAAGAAAAACAUCUACGAGAGUUUGAGGGACUACAUCAGCGUGGAGACGCUCGAGGGCGACAACAAAUACGAUGCUGGAGAACAUGGCCUCCAGGAGGCAGAGAAAGGUGUCAUCUUCCAGAGCUUUCCUCCUGUCCUGCACCUUCACCUGAUGCGUUUCCAAUACGAUCCUCUCACCGACUCCAAUGUCAAAAUAAAUGACAGGUAUGAAUUCCCUGAAAGGCUCAACUUAGACUCGUACGUCGGGAAGCGCGAGGAGGGCAUGGGAGGCACGUACGUCCUGCACGCCGUGCUGGUGCACUCCGGGGACAACCAUGGCGGCCACUACGUCGUCUUCAUCAACCCCAAGGGGGACGGCAGAUGGUGCAAAUUCGACGACGACGUCGUAAGUCGGUGCAGUAAACAAGAAGCCAUCGAUCACAACUUUGGUGGCCAUGAAGAUGACAUCAGCCUCACGGUGAAGCACUGCACUAACGCCUACAUGUUGGUCUACAUCAGAGAGAGUGGCGGCGCUCCAGAGGAUAGCAUGGUGAAUAUUAAAUCUGUACUGCACGAGGUCACGGAGAAAGACAUUCCCUUGGACCUUAUUGACCGCUUGGGGGAAGAAAAGAGAAUUGAAAUGAUACGUCGCAAAGAAAGGAAUGAAGCUCAUCUCUUCAUGACUGUUCAGGUGGUCUUGGAAGACGCUUUUUGCGGGCACCAAGGCUACGAUCUUUACGACCAAGACAAAGCUCAGUACCGCCUCUUCAAAGUCAAGAAAAGUUCCACUUUGAAAGAAUUCUUAGAACUCCUCGCUGAUACACUAAAAUAUCCUAUAGAACAAAUCCGACCUUGGCCUCUUAGUCUACGUACGAAUCAAACUAACCGCACGACCCACCUCGACGUCGAAGCUGGUCUUCACAAGGAGCUGGGACAGAUAAGUGACAAUGUAAAUCCAUGGAUCGUGUUUGUUGAGACGGUUUCCCCGGAGUCAGGACUGCGUUCGCUGCCUAACUUUGAUAAAGAGUCUGAUGUCCUUCUCUUCUUCAAAUACUACGACCCUCGACACAAGAAACUUCACUACAGUGGCCACCACUACAUGCACAUCUCACACUGUCUCGUGGACAUCGUGCCAAUGCUGAAUGAACGGGCUGGACUACCACCUAACACAGAGCUCGCGCUGUUCGAGGAGAUCAAACCCAACCUAGUGGACCGCCUCCCUGACCUCAACAGGCCCAUUGAGAAAGUUCUUGAAGAGCUCAUGGAUGGAGACAUAAUAGUGUACCAGAGGCUUGAUCUUCUAACUGAUGCCACUCUCGAACUGCCGUCGGCAAAAGAUUACCUCAAGGAUAUUUUCUACAGAGUUGAGGUGACCUUCUGCGACAAGCAAGUGCCGAGCGACCCAGGCUUUGUGAUGGAGCUCUCGCAGCGCAUGAACUAUGACCAAGUGGCACGGGCCGUGGCGCUCAGACUGGACACAGACCCUUACCUGCUACAGUUCUUCAAGGCUCAGAGCCACCGCGACGCCCCCGGCAACGCCGUGCGGUGCACGUAUGAAGGCACCCUGAAGGACAUGCUCACAUGCGUCAAGCCUCGCCAGCCCAAGAGAAUUUACUACCAGCAACUCAGCAUCAGAAUCAAUGAGCUCGAGAAUAAGCGGCAAAUGAAGUGUGUGUACAUCAACGAGCGAAGCAAGGAAGAGCAGGAGUUGGUGUUGUACCCCAACAAGAACGGGACCGUCGCUGAUCUCCUGGCAGAGGCGCGCAAGCAGAUACCUGCCCUCGUGGCUGGCGCCGAGGCCGGGGCUAAUAUGAACAACCCUGCAACUCCUCCACUACCUACUUCUGCUAAACUCAGAUUAGUGGAGAUUUCCUCGUGCAAGAUUACUCAAGUGCCGCCCGAGAACAUGAGCCUGGAGGCUCUGACGUCUGCGGGCACGCGUACGUACAGGGUGGAGGAGGUGCCGCCUGGUGAACUACCUCUGGCUGAGGACGAACUCCAAAUUCCUGUUGCUCACUUCUCCAAGGAGCCAUACAGUACCUUCGGUUCUCCCUUCCUAAUCAAGGUGAAGCAAGGGGAAACCGUCCCUUCAGUCAUGGAGCGCAUUCAGAAAAAGCUGGAAGUUCCUGACAAGGAGUUUGAGAAGUACCGACUCGCUAUUGUUAUUAUGGGCAGACACUCUUUCCUCUCUGAAGGCGAUCAUCUGAACUUAGUUGACUUUAGAGUUCUCAGCAAUCAAGCUCAAUUACCGAGCAAGCCCUGGCUAGGGCUGGAACAUGUCAACAAAGCUCCCAAGCGCUCCCGCUACAACUACCUCGAGAAGGCCAUCAAAAUUUACAACUGAAGAGACUACAUUUCGUUGCGACUAAUGCCACCGUCUCGUUGUUGGUUUCUGUUGUUGCUGCGACGUCUUUCUUCAAGAAAAAGCUGUCGCUAGUCUGCGACUGUGACUGUGGUAUGGUUCCUAGUCUCGAUUGACGCAGCUUUGUUUUACAUUUAUUCGGUUGGCAUUCCUUUCGUUCUUGAUGACUCGUUGCUUCAUUUUUUGGACAAGCCUUCACGUUUUUGCAAACACUCAAUAGCUUCUUCCGUGUAUCAUUGAUGUAUUUUUUCCGUCAAACGCCGAGCGGAAAUAUAAAAUAUUAAGUAGGUGGGAUAUAGCAUGAGCGCUAGAUCAAGAACUUAUGCAAUGUUCAGAACUCUCCAGCAUCAUCAAUCAUAUUCUACUACUACACAGCGAUGGUGACAUGAGAGCAUGACAUCAAUAAAUAAUGCCAUGAAUAAAACGACCAUUGAUGUUGGCGCCAGUUCUUGGCUUCUUUUCCUCUUGAGUAUAUUGAGUACUUAUAGAAUGAAAUGUAAUGAGUAUCAGUUGACAGAGAUACCAAUCGCGACAGAAAAUGUAAUAAUUACCAUUUUAUUUAGUUUGCUGUACAGAAAAGCUAGUUUGCGACUAAUCAAGAGGUUUAUUUAUUGCAAUGACAUGAAGUAUGAAUUUAGGAAGCUACCGAGAAUAUCUCAAUGUAACUUAUGUACCAUAUUUAAACGGGCUCAUACUCCCGCCUCUGUGUGUGUGAAUCUGUAACAUAGCAUAGUGCGCUAGCAUGUACAGUUUGUAAUGGAAUUUCAUCAGUUACUUUCAAUACAUCUAUCCUAAAAUAAUUCGAAUAGCGCCAUUCCAUCUUUUCAAUCAAAACUAAAUCAAUAACUUCGGAUUUGCAAGUGAUUUUAAUGGGCUCGAUAGUUGCUUAUUGAUGUUUCAUAGAGAAGUUGAUUGAAAAAUUGAGUAUUGCUCCUGAUUUAUUUAACGAAGGCGAUAAGUUAUCAGGACGACAUUGUUUGUGUGUUUUUAACGGUAACUCGUUCUCUAAUUUCUAUAUUUCUUACUUCUCGCCCCUGAAUCCAAAAAGUAAAGAUUCUUAUUACUUCAAAUGGAUUCCAAACACGUCUGUUUUAGUUCAGCAUAUAGUUAAAUAAUAUUAAUCCUAGUUAAUCUUGUUAAGGAGAAUGGAUUUUUGCCCGGGCAAAGUCAAAUGUGGAGAGAUUCUCUCAUUAGAACAUGUAUUUGCUUAACGGACUAGUGCUGCCCUUCCAAAGUUUAGUUAGAAGUUAGUUGAGCGGCUGCACCUUCUGGCUGUUUUCAAUGCAGAUCGUGUUGUUAAAACGCAGAGCUGACUUUUGCUAUCCCUGUUGCAUAAUAUUAUUUUCUUGCAAGGUAACGGUGACUUGCAAACGUUUAAUGACAAUUCAGGUAACCAACUCUAACGUAAUGCGGACCAGCAAUACUUAAGUUAAAGUCUUUAAAAUCAUGACAUUGGUCUGAAAUGCACGCCUUUUUAGACUAGCGCGCGUUGCAUGAAGCCACAAACUUCGUAUGUAUACCGAUUCAGGAUAAAAAAAAUCUGUUUCCUAUUCUACUAUAAUAAUGUUUAUUACUUCUCCUUAUAUCCGUUCAUUAUAGUUUCGGCUGAAAGUUGAACGCAUUGCUAAGCAUGACAAUAGUCGCGUUUUUUAAUCGAACAGCAAGUUCGUUGCACUAACAUGGAAACUUAUUAAAUCCGAGUAUAACGCUUGAAUUUUUCUUGUUUCAUUUUCAGUUAAUCAUAAAUAACUUGUGCCUAGAUUCUUAUUAUCACGUCUGAUUUGUACUUUCCUAUCAGGUCCUUGAUUCAUUUGUUCUAGCCAUGAUCGCCAUCGAUAAUCUCCGAUUCGUUAAUUAGUUGCAGCAUUCUUUUCCACGGGAGCUUUUCUUUUUUGUACAUCGUUUGCUGAAAGUUGGUUUUUUGUUGCGAUGGCUUUGAUAAGCAGCGAUUGCGAGAAACGUCACUUCGCGUCUUCUCGAAUGCACGGUGACAAUUUUUCUAUUACACUGUUCAUGGAUAUAGACUUGUGGCUUGAUUUUUUUUUCAAAUUUAAGACUUCUCAUCUUCUUCCUUUGUCUUAUAGCUUAAGUGGUCGGUCAGUCGAUUUGCUCGUCUCUAACUUUGAAGGUACACUUGAGGCGCAAGAUUUUGCGUCGGUUGUAAUUAGAAGCGAUCACGAAUGGCUUAUGCCUGUUAAUUUUGUAUUUUGCUAUUUAGGAUUUCGACCUUUCUUCUUCAGAUCUGCCACUCGUUGUUUUGUAUAUCAAGUGGACUUAUAAAAUGUUUUUCUGCACUUAUUUAUUCAUUGCUUACCUCGUGUCUCUAUUUCUCGAAAGCAAAUUUGUUUUUUAUCUUGCAUGAUAGUUUGAAUCAAAAUACCCUAGAUAUUUGCUAUCAGAGAACUUAACCGAUGAGCGAGCAGAGCUAUUAGUCGUGUUAUUUACCAGCCAAAACUGCAUUACAAGUAUUUUACACAUGCGUUGUUGCUACAUCGAUGCGUCCGGCGUCUUCUGGACACUUGCGAAUCAUUUUACUCCUUUAUCGUUAGGAGGCCUGGUUAUAGCUGGCAGAAAUGUUUGGAUUUUAGGUACAAUUGUGUGAUGUGCAGUGAUUUUUAUCACAGGACAUUUAUUGUAAGGCACAUUAAAAACCGUCUACCGUCAAAAUUGACUGAUUUUUGUUGUGAUUAAGCAUUCGGUUUUUUGUUUUUACCAUAAUGCCCAUUUUUCCUGUAUUAUUUUGGUUGAAGUACGUGUUCCAAAAUUUUUUUUCUUUACUUGAUAUUCGAGAGAUGAUUGAUAGGCUCUGUGACUUCACAUAUGACGGCUUGAGGCAUAUAUUGAGUGUAAUAGCAAACCAAUCCAAGUUGCUAUUCGUUGCACUGCUUUCCUAAAUCUCGUGUUGUGUCUUCGGUGUGAUAUUUAAAUGCCUUAAGUAUCCUAUCAAUUGUACAUAGCGCUGCCAAGCUGAGCGGAUUGCCCGUCCGACAUUACUCAUCAUCCGAAUGCAUCGCGGCUUAAUAAGUCAAUUAUUGAUACUUAGGGCGGCUGUCAACUAUAAUCUCUUCUAGCACGCUGUAAGCGUACAGCUUUUCGUGCUGUAUACUGGCUGCUCUGCGCCAUCGUUUAAGAAGAAAUAAACUUUACAACUCU